rnacentral:rRNA from 1 species
AUUGAACGCUGGCGGCAGGCUUAACACAUGCAAGUCGAGCGGGGGAAGGUAGCUUGCUACCGGACCUAGCGGCGGACGGGUGAGUAAUGCUUAGGAAUCUGCCUAUUAGUGGGGGACAACAUCUCGAAGGGGAUGCUAAUACCGCAUACGUCCUACGGGAGAAAGCAGGGGAUCUUCGGACCUUGCGCUAAUAGAUGAGCCUAAGUCGGAUUAGCUAGUUGGUGGGGUAAAGGCCUACCAAGGCGACGAUCUGUAGCGGGUCUGAGAGGAUGAUCCGCCACACUGGGACUGAGACACGGCCCAGACUCCUACGGGAGGCAGCAGUGGGGAAUAUUGGACAAUGGGGGGAACCCUGAUCCAGCCAUGCCGCGUGUGUGAAGAAGGCCUUAUGGUUGUAAAGCACUUUAAGCGAGGAGGAGGCUACUUUAGUUAAUACCUAGAGAUAGUGGACGUUACUCGCAGAAUAAGCACCGGCUAACUCUGUG